rnacentral:rRNA from 1 species
AUGGACCUGUUCCACGACGGGCACCACGUGCGGCUGCGGAACCUCGUGCAGCGCACCUACCUCCACGCCGCCGACGACGGGGUGGGCGUCACGCUCCGCGAGCCCCGCGCGUCCAUGAACGCGGCGUGGGCGGUGCACAUCUACCACGGCGACGAAGGCCCGUACUUGCUCCUCCACAGCGCCGCCUACGGCCGCUACCUCGCCGCCGCGGCCAGGCCGGCACGGCUCGGCCACAUAGGCCUCCGCGCGGAGCUGAGCGAUUACGACCUUCCGGAGGUGGAGGCCAUCAUGUGGCGGGCCGUCGGGUCGGGCUUCGAGGACGACGUCGUCCUACCUCCGCGCCAAUGGCAAGUACCUCCCCUGGAACUCCUCCGGCGUCAGCGUCGACGACGACGCCAGCCCCAUGAUGUACUGGGUCGUCGAGCCCAUCCCCUUCAGAGAGGCGGGCAUGCCUGCCAUUCCUGGUCCGCUUCCGACUCGCCCAAGAUGCCUCUCCGCCAUAUUCUGUUCGUGCGGGCGCUCGAGGAGGUCGACGGCUGGCGCCUGUUCUUGUUCAAGGGGAGGUCCGUGUUCCGCCUGAGGGACGACCUGGCGUUCCGCGUCGCUGCCGGCGUGGACGACCCGAACAUCGCCAUGUGCGUCCGAGCGGGCCGCUACGGGAGGCUGACCCCGCUCGUCGUGCCCCAUGGCGGCUACGGCGACGGCGAGAUCCUCGAGAUUGUCGUCUUCCUGGCCGGGACCCCUGGCUACGAUGCGCUGCGAUACCCGGAUGUCGAUGCAUAG